rnacentral:rRNA from 1 species
UACGUAGGGCGCAAGCGUUGUCCGGAAUUAUUGGGCGUAAAGAGCUCGUAGGCGGUUUGUUGGGUCGGCUGUGAAAUCCCGAGGCUCAACCUCGGGUCUGCAGUCGAUACGAGCAAACUAGAGGGUUGCAGAGGAGACUGGAAUUCCCGGUGUAGCGGUGAAAUGUGUAGAGAUCGGGAGGAACACCGGUGGCGAAGGCGGGUCUCUGGGCAACUCCUGACGCUGAGGCGCGAAAGCGUGGGGAGCAAACGGG